rnacentral:rRNA from 1 species
UACAGAGGGUGCAAGCGUUGUUCGGAAUUAUUGGGCGUAAAGCGCGUGUAGGCGGCUUUGCAAGUUGGGUGUGAAAUCCCUCGGCUCAACCGAGGAAGUGCGCCCAAAACUGCAUGGCUUGAGUCUCGGAGAGGAUGGCGGAAUUCCCCAAGUAGAGGUGAAAUUCGUAGAUAUGGGGAGGAACACCGGUGGCGAAGGCGGCCAUCUGGACGAAGACUGACGCUGAGACGCGAAAGCGUGGGGAGCAAACAG